AGGUGUUCUCGUCCAAAAAAGAGUCAUGUUUACAUUAGUCGAUUCAACGGAGAAUUAAGCAAAGUAAUUUGGUCAAAGUUGACUCAACGUUCCCCCAUUUUAAGCAACUUGGAUCCCUAUAUCUCGACAAUUAUCUCUUUAUUCUGACCCGCUUCCCAUUUAUCUAUUUUCUUCAGGUCAAUUUAUAGAACUAUAACCCUCAUUCACCACCAAACACAGCUCUAUACUGAUGCCACCAUCGUAAGCUCUACUUACACAACUGCCAUGAAAUGCAAGGUGGGAUAUAUAAUUCUCGCGGCCACCAUCAUCGGUUACCAUCUACACCUACACUGCCAUCGACCAUCACCCUCACAUGCAUCCUCGCACACUGGAGAUCAAAUUUGACCAUGGAUCUCUUCCCUCAUGUAGACAUCUCAUUUUGUUUUGUUUUGUGUUUUGUAAGGUUUUUGAUGGUGUCUGAUCGUGGAAAAAAGAAGUUGCUCCAAAGAAAGAUUAUAGGUAGAGUUUUUUUGUUUUCUAUUUUAGUGUGGAUAAAUGUUCGGUUCUUAUAAAAAGCAGGAAAUUCAAGAGCUUCAGUGUAGUGUCUAUGACUUGGUAGAAAUAUUUUACUUUUUUAAUAAUGCUCAAUAUUCAAAAUGAAAUUUUCGUUCUUAGAUUUUCAGCUGCUAAGCUGAUUGGUAACAGUUUCUCUAAACUUUCUUAUAAGUAGUUAUACAUCAAGGGUGCACGCCAAGUGUUCGAUGAAAUGCCUAUUGUUGGUAAGGUAUUUGUUUUUGUUCGAACAGAUUUCCCAUGUAUUUUUUUUUGUUCAACUUGGAAAUUUUUGGGUUCUCGGCUUCAAAUAUUAUCUUAGUGUUUCAAACUAUUGGCUUGCAGGUGGAUGUAAGAAGCAUAUUAAAAUCAAUUAUUUCUUUACCUAUUUUUCAUAUAUUUAGUUGUUUGAUAUUCUCAUAUAAAUUAUUCGUGAAUCACGGACAUCCAUCAUACUCAUAUCAGCUCGAUCAGCAACAUCUCUGUUAUAAGUAGUUAGAACAUUUUUUUUUUGUUUCUGUUUUGUAUCGUACUCUCUUUCUUGAUUUGGUCAAGCUUGCUCUUGUAUGUUUUUAAAUGCCUUGAGAGCUUGCUAAUGCUCUCCCAAUCUUGGUUUAUCUUCUUUAAUUUCUCUUUCCUAUCUAUUUUUAUAUGUACAUGAUUUCAAAAAUAUAUAUAUCAAAAUUUGAUUUACACUCA